UCUUAACAACAUAAUUUUAUUAAAUGCAGUAAAAGCUUUUUCGCCAUUAAAGAUUAGACUUGGGGGCACCCUGCAAGAUAAUGUCAUAUAUCAAACUCAGAGUAAUCAAUGCUGCCAUUCAUUUGUUAAGAAUUCCCCAGAGUUGUUUGGCUUCACUCAAUGGUGCCUUCCUUCGUCUUGAUGGGAUGAAUUAAACUCCUUUUUCAAGAAAUCUGGGUACAUAAGAAGCACUGCCUUGGUUAGUUAGACUGAGAAUAAGGUCCGAUGGUUCAAUAGUUGGAGCUUGGGAUUCCUCAAAUGGUGAAGCUUUUAUUCAUUACAUUGUUGAAAAGGGCUACAACAUAUAUGGCUGGGAACUUGGGAAUGAACUUUCCGGCGGUGAAGUUGGGACAAGAGUUGCACCUGAUCAGUAUGCUUCUAAUACAAUCGUACUACACAACAAAGUACUAGAAAUCUACAAGGAUGUAGCAAACAAGCCAAUUGUUUUAGCGCCAGGAAGAUUCUUUGAUGUCAACUGGUUUACAGAUUUUUUGCACAGGACCAACAACGCUGUAGAUUUGUAUUGGAACAGAUUGCCUUUCUUUUUUUAUUUAAAUCAGAUGGUGAAAAUGAUUUGCCUCACCUACUUAUGUGCCUAUAAUUUGCUGAAGAAAAUGACCUUUUGUUUAUUCAGCUUAACCUAAGCUUUCGCCUUUCUUGGAUUUCUUCUGGAGCUGGAAGCAAAAAUGGCCACCCGUGAAAAACAACUAGUGAGGGAAAACGUGAUUAAAGGUUUGCCCAAGAUAAGGAUUCUCAAAUAUUAGAUUCUAAGCACCUGCUUGAAAUAGUGAGUAAGUUAUUGUUUUAAUUAAACACCUUAAAUGUUCUAUUCAUUCACCGGAAAAAGAAUUUUUUACAUUUUUACAACGCCUGUAUAAUUACGACUUCUUUCCAGUGCAACUGCUUUUUCACUUUUAUUCUUGUAUAAUAUAGCUCCGUUUUUUACCCCUAUUCUUCAGUCUCACAAAUAUU